rnacentral:rRNA from 1 species
AACGAACGCUGGCGGCAGGCCUAACACAUGCAAGUCGAGCGAGAUCUUCGGGUCUAGCGGCGGACGGGUGAGUAACGCGUGGGAAUAUGCCCUUUGGUGCGGAAUAGCCUCGGGAAACUGGGAGUAAUACCGCAUGUGCCCUUCGGGGGAAAGAUUUAUCGCCAAAGGAUUAGCCCGCGUUGGAUUAGGUAGUUGGUGGGGUAAUGGCCUACCAAGCCUACGAUCCAUAGCUGGUUUGAGAGGAUGAUCAGCCACACUGGGACUGAGACACGGCCCAGACUCCUACGGGAGGCAGCAGUGGGGAAUCUUAGACAAUGGGGGAAACCCUGAUCUAGCCAUGCCGCGUGAGCGAUGAAGGCCUUAGGGUUGUAAAGCUCUUUCAGCUGGGAAGAUAAUGACGGUACCAGCAGAAGAAGCCCCGGCUAACUCCGUGCCAGCCGCCGCAGUAAGAC